UACGGAGGGUGCGAGCGUUAAUCGGAAUAACUGGGCGUAAAGGGCACGCAGGCGGUGACUUAAGUGAGGUGUGAAAGCCCCGGGCUUAACCUGGGAAUUGCAUUUCAUACUGGGUCGCUAGAGUACUUUAGGGAGGGGUAGAAUUCCACGUGUAGCGGUGAAAUGCGUAGAGAUGUGGAGGAAUACCGAAGGCGAAGGCAGCCCCUUGGGAAUGUACUGACGCUCAUGUGCGAAAGCGUGGGGAGCAAAC
rnacentral:rRNA from 3 species